rnacentral:ncRNA from 2 species
CGACACUCUGGAAAGCGGAUGGCCGCGUCGGGAAACUGGCGGGGUCGUCCCACCGAAGGGGUAAGCCGGACCGGCUCAGGUGCGGCGAAAGCUCUCAGGUUCCGUGACAGAGGGGGCAAU